rnacentral:misc_RNA from 1 species
CUCCGGCCCAUUCUCCUCCAUCGCCCCCAACCACCUUGCCACCGCCUCCAAAGUGCUCACGCAACCACCGCACGGCUCCUUCCGCAAUACCAACUCCGAGUCAUAUAUGCUCCCUCCUUCCCUACCCUCAUCAAAUCCAUCCAAACACACUCUCGUAGAGAAUUUGCUUAAAUAUCCUUCGCUUGCGCUCACCAUCUCCUUCGCAUGCUUCCAUGUCGCAUCAAACACGAUUAAAACCACGGGAACAUUGUUGGUAUUUCGGAAUUCGUUAACGGAUUUUUUGAGGUCCGAUAAGGUUAUGGCCGGCGGAGAAUGGGGAGGAGGGGAGAGGGAAAAUGUAGCCGGAGAGGGGGGGGUG